AGCUUUGUAGCUCAGUGGAUAGAGUAUUGGGCUCAUAACCCAAGGGUCCCUCGAUCGAGACGAGGCAAAGCUA
rfam:Tilletia walkeri strain DAOM 236422 scaffold_149, whole genome shotgun sequence.